GUGUCAGCCGCCGCGGUAAUACGUAGGUGGCAAGCGUUGUCCGGAUUUAUUGGGCGUAAAGCGAGCGCAGGCGGUUUCUUAAGUCUGAUGUGAAAGCCCCCGGCUCAACCGGGGAUGGUCAUUGGAAACUGGGAGACUUGAGUGCAGAAGAGGAGAGUGGAAUUCCAUGUGUAGCGGUGAAAUGUGUAGAUAUAUGGAGGAACACCAGUGGCGAAGGCGGCUCUCUGGUCUGUAACUGACGCUGAGGCUCGAAAGCGUGGGGAGCAAACAGGAUUAGAAACCCCUGUAGUCC
rnacentral:rRNA from 1 species